CAGAAAAGGAACCAAAUAAAAGCCAUACUUAAGGAAUAUUAACUGAAGGGCAGUGUGGGCAGAAAGGUAAAAGCAGAGUGAGUCUUUAGUGGUUUUUGAAGCAGUCUAGAAAAAACUGAUAGCAACAGGACUGAGAAGGAAGGAAAAAAUAUGAAAGCAUGUUGAGGAAAAUGGAAGAUGAACUCAGUUCCAGGAACUCACUGGCUAUGCGUAAUAAAUAAAUGCAGGGGAAGAAUCGAAGAAGACGCAGAAUCAAAGAAGACGCAGAAGAACAAUGAAGUGGCUUUGAAAACACAGGAAGCUGUGCAGAACAAAGGUGGGGAGAAGGAAAAAGCCUGGAGAAAUGAUGAAACUAACUGGAGUCAUACUGUAUUUAAGAUGCUUUGGGAGCUGGAGGCUACAACGCAGUAUGGAAACGAGUCCUGUGAGCUUCCUGUGAUACACACAGCACCACGGCGGGUACUCAACUCUGCCAGUGUGGAACAAAAGCAGCCACAGAUUAUAUGUAAAUGAGUGAGCAUGGCUGCAUUCCAACAAAAUUUUAUUUAUGGACACUGGAAUUUGAAUUUCAUGUAAUUUUCCUGUGCCAUGAAAUAAGACUUUUUUUU